UACGUAGGGUGCGAGCGUUAAUCGGAAUUACUGGGCGUAAAGCGUGCGCAGGCGGUUUGGCAAGUCGGGUGUGAAAUCCCCGGGCUUAACCUGGGAAUGGCGCUUGAAACUACGGGGCUGGAGUGUGGCAGAGGGAGGUGGAAUUCCACGUGUAGCGGUGAAAUGCGUAGAGAUGUGGAGGAACACCGAUGGCGAAGGCAGCCUCCUGGGCCAAUACUGACGCUCAUGCACGAAAGCGUGGGGAGCAAACAGG
rnacentral:rRNA from 1 species